rnacentral:lncRNA from 1 species
GUCGCUAUCUGCAUGCAUCCUGGUACCACUGAGCCCUGGACAGAGGACUGUUAGCAUCUCACUGGGAGCCACUGCUGUGCAAAGCAGGUACAUCAAGGCUUAAUAAAAAACUCUUUUACAUGUAAGCAAUAAUCGACCCUCCUGAACUCCAAAGAUCGGCUUGAAUUGGUGCAAAAGCCAUAAUCAUUAGUCACAAGACAAAUUAAUUAGCAGUGUCCCUUUAGCUGCAUGAUAAACUCACUUGUUUGGAGACUAAGUUCUUCUUAAUUUAGAACCUGCUCAACCCCCAGAAGUGUGAGAGCGUGUCCAGGAACAAUCCCUCCUGGCUCCCUGAUCCAGGGCUCUGCGUGCUUGUGAGAAACCUGAAGAUCAAGGCGACCUUAUAGGGAUCUGGGUUGGGAGCCUCAGAGACGAUGUUGGAAUGGGGUUUUUUUUUGUUGUUUUUUUUUUGGGGGGGGGGUGUUUGUUUUUUAAUGUGAGAUAUAGUUGACACACAAUGUUAUAUUCACUUCAGGUACACAACAUAGCGAUUCGAUGACUAUCUACAUUAUGAAAUGCUCCCCACAAGAGGUGUAGUUACCAUCUGUCACCACACAAAUUUAUGACCAUGUUGGAAUCAUCGUAACCACACUUGUGUUCAUUGUUUAUCACCCCCGACUAAACAAAUUACCAUGUUCCUGCAUGUUAUUUCGCCGUGAGCAGGAGGUAAACCUCUGCUGAUACCGAGCAUAGAUAGUUCAAGAUGUCUGAGCCCACCGCUAAUGGGCCUCUGGUUUCCUGUAGCCUUUGUAGCCCAGAAAGUUUGGGAGGACUACAUAGACCUCAAGACCUGGGGUUGACUGGGUCUCCUAAAUCUGAGGAUUAUAACUUCAUGCUCCUUACAUCCAGCACUCAUCACCUACCGUCGUGUCAUUUUGUUGGGGACACUGCCCACCAUUUGACCUCUGUCAGUUCCCUGGAAUCAUGAGUAAAUGUGUGACUCCAACACAGGCAAUGGCAUUUGAUUUGGCUAAAAAGGCACAAGUGGGGAGAACCAUGACAUCAGUCCCUCCUGAAGCCAACUGUCCCCGGUUACAUGAGGAACUCAAUUGAAUGGACUUAACUUCCCAGGCAAGUCACCUGGGUUUCCAUACAAGUUACUGUCUGGAGAACAUUUGUCAAAACAGUUCAAAUGUCUCAAAAUGUCUCAGCUGCACGGCCACCCCAUGGACCUCAACAGCCAUCGAUGCCAUGGUCUUCCUGCACUUCCAGUGCUCCUGACCCCAAGACAGGCUCUGCCCCACUUGGUGGUGGAGAUACUGGGGCUGGCAUGUCAGAGCCAUUAGCACAAACAAGAUCCCUGGACAUGUGUCCUGUUCUCCUCAAACACUGAGGACCAUGGACAUGUCCAUCUGAAUAACAAGUCUAUUAUUUCCUUCCUCAGGCCUUCCUCAAUUCCCAAGUCAUCUGUUCCAAAAAAAUAUAAUUGAAGAGAGAUCAGGAAUCAAUGUUAUUCUACUGUGUUUUAAGUGUGAAAACAGAAGUGUAAUAUUAUGUCUUGUUUCUAAACCAAGCAUAGGGGUGUAACUUGGCAAAAAAAAAGAAUAAAAUUCCAUGGGUGGGCUGGAGAAAUACAAAAAAAAAAAAGUGAAAUAAGAUGAGCUACAUAUGGCUGUGAUGUAGUUGGUGCCAAUAAGUGAUUCAUCCCAGUGUGUGCGCUUAUGCGCUGAGCGCUGCUCUUUGCAGGCUGCUUAAUGAAUGUGUGCACCCCCAGCUAUGCAAGUCUGCAGCCCCAAUAAAGAGGCCACAGCAGGAAGAUCCUUGGACUAAGGCUCUGGUUUGCACUUACUCUAAAAAAAUUAUUUGAUGAGGCACGUUAAUCUCUCUGCGUAGCUUAUAAUUAGAACUGCACUUACAUUUCCACCUG